UACGGGGGGGAGCAAGCGUUGUUCGGAUUUACUGGGCGUAAAGGGCGCGUAGGCGGCGUAACAAGUCACUUGUGAAAUCUCCCGGGCUUAACUCGGAGCGGUCAAGUGAUACUGUUGUGCUAGAGUGCGGAAGGGGCUACUGGAAUUCUCGGUGUAGCGGUGAAAUGCGUAGAUAUCGAGAGGAACACCUGCGGCGAAGGCGGGUAGCUGGGCCGACACUGACGCUGAAGCGCGAAAGCUAGGGGAGCGAACGGG
rnacentral:rRNA from 1 species